rnacentral:rRNA from 1 species
UACGGGAGGCAGCAGUGGGGAAUAUUGCACAAUGGGCGAAAGCCUGAUGCAGCUAUGCCGCGUGUAUGAAGAAGGCCUUAGGGUUGUAAAGUACUUUCAGCAGGGAGGAAAGAAAUAAAACUAAUAAUUUUAUUUUGUGACGUUACCUGAAGAAGAAGCACCGGCUAACUCCGUGCCAGCAGCCGCGGUAAUACGGAGGGUGCAAGCGUUAAUCAGAAUUACUGGGCGUAAAGAGCGCGUAGGUGGUUUUUUUAAAGUCAGAUGUGAAAUCCCUAGGCUUAACCUAGGAACUGCAUUUUGAAACUGAAAAACUAGAGUAUCGUAGAGGGAGGUAGAAUUCUAGGUGUAGCGGUGAAAUGCAUAGAUAUCUGGAGGAAUACCUGUGGCGAAAGCGGCCUCCUAAACGAAUACUGACACUGAGGUGCGAAAGCGUGGGGAGCAAACGAGGGAUUAGAUACC